rnacentral:rRNA from 1 species
GGCUCAUUAAAACAGUUAUGGUUUAUUUGAUGGUUCAGUUGCUACUUGGAUAACCGUAGUAAUUCUAGAGCUAAUACAUGCACGAAGGGGCGACUCACGAAGCCCUGUAUUUAUUAGAUUAAAGCCAACCACCUCCGGGUGUUCGUGGUGAAUCAUAGUAACUUCUCGGAUCGCCGGCUCUACGCCAGCGACGUGUCAUUCAAAUUUCUGCCCUAUCAGCUUUAGAUGGUAGGAUAUGGGCCUACCAUGGCGGUGACGGGGAACGGAGAAUUAGGGUUCGAUUCCGGAGAGGGAGCCUGAGAAACGGCUACCACUUCUAAGGAAGGCAGCAGGCGCGCAAAUUACCCAAUCCUGACUCAGGGAGGUAGUGACAAGAAAUAACAAUAAACCGGCUUAUGCCGGUUUAAUUGGAAUGAGUACAAUUUAAACAUCUUAACGAGGAACAAUU